rnacentral:lncRNA from 1 species
UUAAAGAGCAAAAGCAUUGACAAAAAUUCACAUAGCAAUUAAAUACUUCCUGUCUACAAAUCUCAUCUGAAACAUUACUGCAAUUUUUUCCCCCACACACAUAAGUGGACACAGUUCAGAUUGUCUCCGGAGAGCUAGGUGUCAAGGCACACCCAAGCAAACCCAGCAUUUGGAAGGUUCAGGCAGGAGGAUCAGGAGUUCAAGACCAUGAUGGAGGGGAAGACACAGUCUCUUUCUGAUGGAGUCUCCAGAGAAUGAACUGGGGAAAGUUAGUCAACAGCUGUCAGAGGAGGCGAGCAAUGACAGGAAAUCUCUAGCUUAUUUACAAAGAAAUACAGGAAAUAAUACAGAGCAGACCAGGGAAGAGUCCUGUCCUGUACUUAAGUCUAACCCUCAUGGUAGGAUCCUGCAGAUGAACUUGGUGGGUAGGCAGCAGUCACAGACCUCCAUUUUUCUCCCCUGUUCUGAGAACAGGAGAGUGGCACCUCCCUUCUCUGCAGCACUGAGUACACGUCUAACACUCUGUAGAAACAUUAAACAAAACCGGAUAGGGCUGGGACACUCGGGUAUAACACAUGGAAACAUCUGCCAGGAGUAAGUGAGGGUGGCUUGGAUAAAAACUAUCAGAAGCAGUGUGUGAUGGCAAGAAUCAUGUACCUUAUUAGCAAAGUAGAAAAGGAAACAUUAGAAAGCAGAAGGGAAAAGUCCAGAAUUCAUAAAGGGGGUACUGUGGGCCUAGCGAGCACCCACACCGAAUAGAAGUGAUCAGAGCUAUGGUAAAGACAGAAGGAUCCUUAAAAAAAAAAUCCAUUGUGCUCCCAGUAACAGAUAUUUUAAUUCUAGAGAGAGGGAGCAAGAUAGACAAGAAUGUUACAAGCAGACAUAGCAGGAGAGAUAGUGGAAAACACUCUCCACUCAGUUCUCAACCAGAGCAGUUUUGUUUUUUUUUGUUUUUUGUUUUUCAAAGACCUCUACUGAGCUGGUGGUUUGUUAGCCCCAGCCCCUCCAGUAACCACUCUCUCAGGACAGUCAGAGCAUUGGAAUAUAUGCUGACACCUGGCCAGAUGGAAAACACAGGAAGGAAGAGGCUUUAAAUCAGUGCAGAUUUCAGUGUGGUAGAAUACUUGUCAGACCCAGAGUCUGCACAGACCAUUGACACGGGUUCCAUCCAGUUUAAGUGUGUGCUCACAAGAUGACAGGAAGAUCCUUAUAGAGGUCCAGUCAUGUUUCAAAAUGAGACUGUAGAAGACAUGUCCAGAGUGUCAGCAGCAUAUGAGAACUGACUCAUGGGGGGUGCCUAGUGGUGGAACCUCUACCUUCUGUGGUGUCAAACUGUGAAGGAUUGCCCAGGGGCACAGUAUACUCCCAAAGGCAUCAAGGCUGCAAGCAGCAAGCAGGUGAGACUUCAUUUUGUCUUUAUAUCCUACAGGACUGCCUGUCGCCCCAGCUCAUCUAACCCUCCUCAAUUUAUGAUACAUUUGGUUCGACAAGGCUGCUGUCUUGUCACAGCAGGCAAUGCAUUCAGCCCAGGGUAAGCCAGUUAUACAAGGACAUCACACUUCAUUUUUUUGUACCAGGUUUUACUCAUGUUUCGUACAUGAAUCAACCACCUACCAUGGUAAGAGAUAUCAAAACACUAGACAAAUGCAUAUCUUCAGUAAGGAAGUGUGACUUUGUAGUUCAGUGAAAAGAAAAGUUUAGUCAGUGAUGGAGAUUUCUAAGCCAGCCUCUGCUAAGAGAGGGAGAGAUGACAGGGAAGCAGACACAUGUCAGUGUAGGGAGGGCUCAGUGCUGUGGGCUGUCCUGGAGACAUUCCCUCCAGCAUGUCCCAGAGCCUCCUCUGUAUCUGGAACACAGCAACAAGCCUCUGGCAAAAAAGAUUUAAUCUAGGCAACAGCUGUCUUCACACCCAUUGUGUUCUGCAGGGAGGGAGCAACUGAGGUACAGGAAGUCUUUCUCAUUCUGUAUGACCAUUGCUUUCCAUUUCACGCCCUGCCAUGCAACAGCUACAGAGCUGGGAAGCUACCCCAUGCCACAGAUGCAAACUGUGGCACCAAGAUAAGAUCACCCUAAUAGAAGAUGCUCCUGUGAACACAGUUGUGGGAAAAGGAUGCUGCAACUACAUAGGACCCAAGAAAUGGGUAAGGGUAAAAAGCCUGGGUCCUUAAUCUCUGAGAUAUUAAAUGGUGGCAAUAAUGUGGGUGCUUGAAAAAUUUAAAAGGUUCCCAGGUACAGGAAGGUACAGAAUUUUGGCUGCAUAUUUGUGCCUUGAGGAUCUUUGGAAGGUCAAUGUGGUGUCACAGAGGGACACAGGAUAAAUUUUGAGUGGAGUUCAUAAGAGAUCUGUCAGUAGUGCAUUAUCUUUUUCACUUCUUGCCAUUGUACACUUGGCAUUCUAUGAACAUGGCCACUGACAAAGAAGCCAACUCCAUCCUAAAGUUCUUGAUCCUCUUAGGAUCUGUUUGGUCUCUGAUAACCAGAAAGCUGCACAUUAGUGCAAUUGGACUCAGCACACCAGUCAAAAACCGUGAUGUGACUAGACAAUGAAACCAUAGAUCAGCAACAGAGAUGGAUAUGUCAGGGAGAUAGGUAGGCCUUUGUUUUCUUUUCCUUCCUUGAUUCUGUCAACCAGAUCAGCAUCUGGGCUAGGACUCAGAUGGAUGUUGUCAGCAGGACAGGUAUGGUGAUCAGGGUAAACAACUUGUCCCAAGACACUGCUCCUAGGAUAUAUGGGACUAGAACUGAAUCUGUGGUCAGGAAGCCAGGCUAUGGAGGUUUGUCCCCAAUAAUUAAUCUUUUCAUGACCCCUCAGGUCUCAGUAUCUCCCACUGUGUACUGUAAGAGAAGCCAAUCAGCCUCUUCCAGAAGCUCAGAAAUGUAUUGUGAAUGGAAAUCAUUCUGGACUAAACCUGUACCAUCAUUUAGGCGGAAGACUCUGUUACCUGAAGUCCUCCUCUUGCUGCUGGCAGCUAUGCUGGCCUGAACUCUGAGAUAUUAAAUGGUGGCAUCUGAGUAUUGGAACUGAGAGAAAGAAUCUCAUUCUGAAGCCACAAGGAUGCUGUGCAUCACUGCAGACAUGGGAAGCCUAGCUUUGGCCCUGCUUGUCCCAGCAACUCCAGGCUUCCCCUUUAGGCUCCCCUUGCCUGGCUUCCUAUAUCAUCCAGGUCCAGAGCUGGGCUCCCUGUUCACCCCCCAGCCUAGUGAACUUUCUCAGGUGCCAGGAGGAGGGCAGGGUCCCAUUGCAUGUUGGUUUUAGGCUCCUAUGAGCUGUGUUAUUUCUAUGCCCUUUCUCCUGAGGCUGCCCUCCUGGAGCCCUGGGUCUCAUUCAUUCUUGAGUUGUGUUUCAGGCAUGCAGAUUGUGGGAAGCAAUAGAGAUCUUGGACUUGCUCUUCUACUACAGGCUGAGCAGAGAUGUCUCUCCACAGGUGUUUCCCCAGACCCUGUUCAACUGUCCUGCGGGUCGGGACAAACUGGUGCCUGAACCCCAGGAGAUCACAGAGGAGAGAAUGCCGCUCUUCAUUGGAGGGUAGGCCUACCUCUCAUCUUGAGAAACGCCAGAAAGUGACUUUGGUUCCACAUGACGCCACUGAGCAACCUAUCUUGAGACAGUCUGGGAGGAAUAAAUAAAGGGGCGCAGAUCUUAGGAGAAAUACGAUGCUGCUCCAGACGAAGAUACUCAUGAUCUUGUGGCUGACUAGAAUAACCACCAACCUUCAACUGCCUCCCGCCCCCAAAUCUCCUAAUAAUAGGCACCUCCUUUGGAAUUACACUUGGAUGGACCUCUCAGAGAGAAAUGAUGUUGUUUGGACCCCUUGUAAGACCUCUACCAAUUUGACUCAUUCUUUUUACAGCAGGGAGGACUGUGUGCAGCUCUUAAGGAAGAGUGUUGCUUUUAUGUAGAUAAAACAGGAAUGGUUAAAGAGAGCAUGAGAAAAGUAAGAGAAGGCUUAGAAAAAAAGACAGAGAGAAAGAGAGAGAAAAAGAAGAGAGCUGGUAUAAAAAUUGGUUUUCAACCUCUCUGUGGUUGUCAAUCUUAUUUCCUUCCAUUUUGGGACCGUUAGUUGGAUUGUUUUUGCUUCUUUCUUUUGGUCCCUGGGCCCUUAAUGGACUUACCAGUUUUCUGAAACAUCAGAUAGAUGAUUUGGCAGCAAAACCUAUCCAAGUAUAUUAUCAUAAGUUAGCUACUGAGGACCAAGAGAUUGGAGACGAGGUUGUUAUUCCCUCCAGGGUGUUCCCAAAGGCCAUCUCCACCCAACCUAAGGAAGGCGACUCCAGCCCCAGCACCAAGUAGCAAGGGGCCAUCCAGAACCCCUCUGACUGGUGAUCUAAGUUUUUGCUUGGGCUGUGAGGCAAAGCACUGCAAGGGAAUGUAAAGCAAAAACUAAAAACAUUUUUCUGGGUUCCCUGAGGGACAAGCCUGACUGCAUAGGGGUUGAUAUACAAAAAUUAUCCCCUCUCCAGGAAAAAAGACAUCAGGAUAAGUAUGGUCCCCAUGCUUCACUGGACAACACCAGGAGGAUGGGAGCCAUUACAAGAUCCCCUUUAGUCACUUGAGGUCAGGCCUCUAUCCUUGCCUUAGCAAAGAAUAAAAUCGCCAUGGUCCUUCUAUACUAAAAGGAAGGGGGAGAUGGGAGCCACCCUGUUUAAAUGUUAACUGCCUUAUCAGCCAUAAGUGCUUACUUACAAAGUUUUGGCCUUAGUGGAAAAGUACUAGCUUAGUUGAGAUUUCUGUGGGAAACGUUGAGGCCUCUAUGGGAAAGUACUACCCCCAGUUAAGAACAAAUCUAUAGAUCUUGUGGACAGGUGCCUAGCAACCCAUUCUGUUCUGUUCCUCCUGCUGAACUUUUUACCUAGCCAAUAUCCUGCUUUUGGGAACAGGUGGGUUCCCCCAGAAACAAAGCGAUUCUGCGUCACCCCCUUCCCCAUAUCCUACUUCUAUGGGUAUAAAACCUGCCUGGGAAAAAUAAAAU